rnacentral:rRNA from 1 species
UGAUCAGCCAUACCGCGUGAGUGAAGAAGGCCUUCGGGUUGUAAAGCUCUUUCAGCCGGAAAGAAAUCGUGCUUAUUAAUACUAAGUAUGGAUGACGGUACCGGAAGAAGAAGCACCGGCUAACUACGUGCCAGCAGCCGCGGUAAUACGUAGGGUGCGAGCGUUAAUCGGAAUUACUGGGCGUAAAGCGUGCGCAGGCGGUUAUAUAAGACAGAUGUGAAAUCCCCGGGCUUAACCUGGGAACUGCGUUUGUGAUUGUAUAACUUGAGUGUGGCAGAGGA